rnacentral:tRNA from 1 species
GGGCCCAUAGCUCAGUCGGUAGAGCAACUGACUUUUAAUCAGUAGGUCGCUGGUUCGAACCCAGCUGGGCUCA